UUUAUACUCCCUCCGAUCCAUAUUAAUUGUCUCAAAUUUGCCCAAAUAUGGAUGUAUCUAUGCCUAACAGGCGUCUAGAUACAUGUAAUAUUUUCGAUAAUUAAUAUGGAUCGGAGGGAGUACAUA
rfam:Brachypodium distachyon strain Bd21 chromosome 5, whole genome shotgun sequence.